rnacentral:rRNA from 1 species
GAUCGGCUAACUCCGUGCCAGCAGCCGCGGUAAUACGGAGGAUCCGAGCGUUAUCCGGAUUUAUUGGGUUUAAAGGGUGCGUAGGCGGACCUGUAAGUCAGUGGUGAAAGUUUGCAGCUCAACUGUAAAAUUGCCAUUGAAACUAUUGGUCUUGAGUGUAAAUGAGGUAGGCGGAAUGUGUUGUGUAGCGGUGAAAUGCUUAGAUAUAACACAGAACACCAAUUGCGAAGGCAGCUUACUAGGAUACAACUGACGCUGAGGCACGAAAGCGUGGGGAUCAAACAGGAUUAGAUACCCUGGUAGUCCACGCAGUAAACGAUGAAUACUAGCUGUAUGCGAUAUACUGUAUGUGGCAAAGCGAAAGCGUUAAGUAUUCCACCUGGGGAGUACGUUCGCAAGAAUG